rnacentral:rRNA from 1 species
CGAGGCGAACCGGGGAAACUGAAACAUCUCAGUACCCCGAGAAAAAGAAAUCAAUCGAGAUUCCCCCAGUAGCGGCGAGCAAACGGGGAGCAACCCAGAGUCAACAUCAAUAUUUACCACAGGAGAAGGGUCUGGAAAAGCCGGCAAUAAAGGGUGAUAGCCCCGUAUCUAAAGCGGUAAGUGUUGUGAACUCGAAGAGUAGGGCGGGACACGUGUUAUCCUGUCUGAAUAUGGGGGGACCAUCCUCCAAGGCUAAAUACUCCUGACUGACCGAUAGUGAACCAGUACCGUGAGGGAAAGGCGAAAAGAACCCCGGCGAGGGGAGUGAAAUAGAACCUAAAACCGUGUACGUACAAGCAGUAGGAGCACCCGAAAGGGUGUGACUGCGUACCUUUUGUAUAAUGAGUCAGCGACUUAUAUUCUGUAGCAAGGUUAACCGCAUAGGGGAGCCGUAGAGAAACCGAGUCUUAACUGGGCGUUAAGUUGCAGGGUAUAGACCCGAAACCCGGUGAUCUAGCCAUAAGCAGGUUGAAG